CAAGAUCUCAUUUGCAAAGGGGGUCCUGGGGACUGAAAGUGGAUAUACAUGUGUCAUGUGUUGUAGUCUCCAUCUUCUGCUUUUCCUGUUAGGAAAUAAUUUGAAAAUUACCUAAAAUAGGAACAAUAGACUCAAUGGCUGAACAAAAGGCUCAGAUCUGUCUCCACAGCAGAACCCAGAGUGCUGGCCUUCAACGGUAGUUCCUGUAGUCCUGAGAAGAGAAGGUGACCAAUGGAAAAUCAUAGUGUCUGACACCAGGAGAGAGAAGAAGCAGGAGGGAUCUGUGAAAAAUGCCUGCAAGAAACGAAGCACGGUGUGGAUGGAGAUAAUUCACGUCUCUGCAGUGAUUCUUUAGUAAAAGUCUGUGAAAAUGUGCUGGUGGCUUUCAAUGGAGAAGAAUCAAACCUGUUGGCCUUCAUCUUGGAAAGCUGUAUGCACUUGCUUUUGCAAUCCGCUCACAGACUCAAGGUAAGUAAGCCUGCACAGAUAAAAAUGGCUGAGAUACAUGGCACAGAUAAAAAU
rnacentral:lncRNA from 1 species